rnacentral:lncRNA from 1 species
AGAGUAAGUAUAGUCCCUGUUUCAAAACCAUAAUACAGCGGUCAACGCGAUCAUCUAGAUGAUAUCAUUUCCUCCCCUCAUUAGCAUAAAGAGGUGGGCAUCGGCUAAUUUGAACAAACCUUUUGUUAAGAGUCGAUGUCUGAAUUUCAACAGUGAUCAGAGAAGGAACAUUAACUAUGUACGACUACGAGGACGAGGAUGAGAACAUGGAACACUAUGGGCAGCCUACUCCUCCUGUGUACAACAUGACAACCAUUCCAAAUGACCUUCCUCUCUUCCUCAGCUAUGGUGGGCAGGAUGCACUUUCUGAUGUUAAUGAUGUGCAACUCCUUCUGGAAAGCCUCAAAGAUCAUGAUGGAGAUAAGCUUGUGGUGCAGUACAGAGAGGACUAUGCACAUGCAGAUUAUGUUAUGGCUUCCAAUGCUAAGCGAGCUGUGUAUGAUCCUCUCAUCGCUUUCUUCAAGCUUCAAUAAACUGGGAAAAAGUUUGUCAACUAUAGUCUGAUUUUGUUAUACAUUUUACUUGGUGUGAAAAAUUGUAUUCCUACUGCCAUAGUAGCUUUUAUGCUAAUACAGCUAAAUUUUUUGAGUUAUUUGGUUGUUUAGAUUGGUUCUUUCGUAAUCGAAACCGAGAAAUUAACUUAAAAAACCUUAUAAUUAACAACAUAUAGAUAACAUCAAGCUUCAUUUUCUCUAUAUUGAAUAUAAAUGUUAGCAAGAAAUGCGUUAGCAGUUAGCACACAUUCAUCUGUUUCUAGUUCAUUUUUACCAAGCUCACAUUGGAAAAAAUGUAAUGGAAAGGAAAAAAGAAAAGCUAAUGCUAUGCUUGGCUUUGGAAAAAAGCUAGGAAAAAUGGAAAAUGUUAUAAUUUUCCACCAAUAGAAUUAUAAUUUUCUUUUAUCCUUUUUUCUUCUAUUUUUUAUUUUAUUUCUCUCAAACUUUUUUUUUUUAAAAAGAUAUAAGAAAAGGAUAGAAGUUUAGCUUCAUAUUACUUAGAAAACUAUGAUAAAAGUUAAAAAAAGUGGUUGCUCAUGAAUUUAAUUUGAGUGUGUUUAGUAACUGUUUUCGAAAACUGCUAUUAAAAACCAUUCUCUAAUAUUUUGUACAAAUAAAAUUUAUUUAGAAGCUUAAAAUGUUUUUAACCCGUUUUUAAUAAUUUUAAAAAUAUUUUUUAUGUUUAGUGUUUUAAUUUUAUUUCUUCUCCAUCUUUCUAUAAUUAUUUCCUAAAAUAGUCAAUAAAAAACAAGUGAAAAUAAUAUAAUACAACUAAAAUGAUGUUUCCUAAAACCACCUUAAUUUUAGAAAUCAGAAAAUAACUGUUAGUUCUCAAACGUACUUUUGGGGUUUUUUUUGUUCUAAAGAACAAAAAAUUGUCCUAAAAAAAGUCCCAAAACCAACCAUUUAUUUCUCAACUUUUACAUAAAUAAUAAAAUAGGGAAAAGUUUUGUAAAUUUUCAUUUUUUCUAUGACAUAAUAUUUUGAUUACACAACGUUAAUUGAAAAUCCAUUUCCCAAUUAAGAUUAUGGAUGAAUAUUAAUCAUCUAAUCAAUUCUGUAAAAUGCCAGUACAGCGUUUUAAAUACGUCUGUGGGAUGAAUCAAACGGCGCCGUUUAAGCGCAGUAAUGAGUCGAUGACUAUACUAUAAAAUAAGGGUGCGUUUGGGAGAAGGUAGGCUUCCCACGGUUUUAGUAUCUCUGCUGCUCGUCCCCUGAAACUAAAGUCAACAAGAGGGAAGAAGCAGAAGCAGAAGAAGAAGAAGAAGGUGAAUCAGUGAUGGCAACAGGAUCAAUGAUGGCAAAACGCUACCCCUGGCACCAAGUUGCUGCUGUCUCUGGUAAACCCACAAUUUAUCUUUCCUUCUCUGUCUGUAUUCAUAUGCAUGAAUGAAUCUGAAGAAGAGCAUUUGUGAAAAUCAUUCAAACAGGAGCUGUAGGUAUUGGGUUGGGAGCCUUUGGUACCCAUGUCUUCAAGCCCCAAAACCCUAUUUACAAAGAGGUAUGCUUUUAUCCUUUUAAUUUUUAACUGUAAUCCCUGUGUUUGGCUGCUCAGAAAACGGAGGAAAGGAGGCUAAAUUUUGAGCCUUACCCAUCUCAAUUAGGCUCAUUUUAUGUCAGUAUGUUAAUGGAAAAUUUAUAAUUCAAAACUCUGGUUCAUCUCUUUUUCCUCUGUGACCAAACGAAGGCCAUAUCAUUUCAAUCCAUUGAAGUUAGUAUACAUAUUUUAUAUUAAUUUGAUGAUCCCUUUUUGUGAAUAAAAUGAAGGUUUGGCAAACGGCAUCCUUAUACCAUUUGGUUCAUACGGCAGCUCUGCUUGCUACCCCUGUUACCAAGCAUCCCAAUAUUGUGAGUUCCCCCUGUCAAUUUAUUCCCAAAUUCCCUUUAGUUUCAAGUUUAUAUUUUGUGAAUUCUGUGAUGGGUGUGGAUCAUAAUUUAUCAAUUAUUAAGAGUUCUUUUUCAUGUAUCUUGUUGUAGUUUGGAGGUCUUGUGACAGCUGGAAUUCUUGCAUUUUCAGGAACGUAAGCACGGUUUUCUCUUCUUAGAUAUGCAUGAUGUUAAUUCAAUUGUACUGCAUCCAUUGAAAAGAAUUUGAGAUUUUAAAGUCCAGUCACAAAACUGGGUGGUAGAAAAUGCUUGUUCUGAUAUCUGCCGAGUUUGCUAGUCAAAUGAAGCUGAAAAUCAUGAUGAGAAAGAUUUUAUGCAUUCUGCAAUUGGUUUAAGGGUCACAAACAGUGGAGGUAGAAACCGAGGGAUGAUUUAAAUCGUAAAAGUGGCACAUUAACUUGGUAAUUGAGAUGAGAAUGCUUAACAUCUCUUCUGGGACUGACCAAUCUGUUUGUACCCUUUAUGAGCCUUCAUAGGUAAACAAACUUCAACUGAAUUGAUGUUUUGUUUUCACUCUUGUAUAAACCAGCAUGAAAUUUCAGACUGAUUCACCUCUGUAGUGAGCAGAGUUUGAUCUGGAGUAAACAUGUAGGUCUUUGUGACAGAAUGAUGAUACCAUGGUUUAACCAUCCAAUCAGAGACUUCUGUCAAUUGAAAAUUUUGAAGUUCAUCACUCUUUUAAUGUGGAAUGGUUUAUCUGCAUUCUGCAAUGAAAUUUGCAUCAUAGGUACUGGUUAAUUCAAUAUUCAAUUAAAUUCUUGGUAAUGAUAUUGAAGAUCAGAGCACUAACUUUGUUGUCUGUCCUGCUAAAUGUGUUUGGGGUUUCACAAGAGGGAGAGGUAAAAUGUUCCUUCCAACCAAGGAGAGGGGGUUUUGUACAAUGGAUGAUUGCAAUGAAAGCCAUCAAUGAAAUAAGAUGUCAUGCUGUCCUGGAAAAUUCACCAAUAUUUUAUGAAAACUAUGGUGUCUUUCUCUGUGUGGCCAAGGUAACCACUCAAGUAGACCCACAGGAAUUGGUUGUGACUUACCAGCCUAGGCGAAUAGUUGUUAUAAUCAUACUGGAUUGAGUCGAGUAGCAGGUUGGUUAGAUUUAUUUUCAAGCUCGCUUUGGCUUGGUCAGACCUGAUAUUGGAAAUAUACAUAGGGCUGACAUAUGAAAUUCUUGUGUAAAUUGUUGUUCUUGUUUACUUCUAUGGUUAAAAGAGAUACUUGGAUGCAGCAACAGACCCAACCUUUUCUUUGAUUACAAUUUCACUGACUGUUGGAGCUAAGCUGUUGUUGGGGAAUGUUUCAUGGAAAUAUCUGCUUUCUAGAAACAAUUUCCUCUUAUCCAAUGAAAUAUAUGUGAAUAAAAUUGAAUCUUGAUGGAAACACUAGGACUUUGCAGGUGUUAUACUGCAGCAUAUUUUGAAGACAGAAAGUACAGUUUCUUGGCACCAUUCGGCGGCCUUGCGUUUAUUGCCGCUUGGGGGAGCUUGCUUUUCUAAGGAUUUCAACUUCCUCAUACAGUGGUACAAAUUCUGGUUUCUGGGUUUGUGAAUUCAAUAAGGCAACUAUGGUGGGAUCUUGGGGAAUUGUACCAAGAAUGCUUUUAUUUUUCGGAUUUGAGAUUUGAACAGUUUCUGGAAUUUCUUGUCAUGCAUCUCUUGUAAGAGUGUUCUUGUCAUUACAAGCCACUUCUCCUGUUUGUAUACAAUAAUCUUCUCAAAGAUGUAGAUGGAAUAUUUCAAAAUCUAAGUUUAUACUAUACUUUUGUGAAGUUCUCCAUUGUCUUCUGAUGCAUUUGGAAAGAAUGUAGGAUGAGUAAUCUUAUAGGGCUGAUGGGCUAAGCAAAAUGAUCUUACUUCUAUUGCUAGUAUCAUAUCCAUAAAAUCUUUGAUAAGGCUUCUGAGCUUGAAAAUUUUGUACUGAAGUAUGAAAAUGCUUUCUCAGCUAACAUCAUUUAUCCACUCACCUAUUCAAAAAAUUUUAGAAUAAUAUAUGAAAAUAAUAUAAGUAAAAUGAUGUAAUAAUUUUAAAAUUAUAAAAGAUUUUUAUAUAAUAAAAUCAAAUAAUAAACUUUUUCUUUCAUUUUCAAUAUAUAUUUUCACAUGAAUAUCGUAUGUAUUUUAUUUUAUAAAAAAAUAAAAUAUUAAUAUAUUUAUAUUUAUCCAUAAUUCAAUUUGAUGAUAUAAAAUAAAAUAAAAAUGAAUAUUAUUUUGUUUUUUCUCUUUGAUAUUAUCAAAUUAAAUACAUAAUGGGUUUGAUUUCAAUUAGGGUUCAAUCACGAUCCAAACAUCAAAUCAAAUUGACAACUUUUCCAAUUCAACGAUGGAUCGAUUCUAAAAACAUUUAUAAAUACUGAUAUAUAAUUCUUACCAAACAAUAUUUUGUUUCUUUUACACACUUUUGUGAGAUGAGGUGUACUUCAAUGUUGUCUAAUUUUGAAGGUUGAGCAAGGAGGGUUCAUUUAAGGUUUAAAGGUUGGGGGUAGAAGGGGAGAAGGUUGUCAAAUCUCCCACCUCCUAUUUGUGAAUGAUACUCUUCUUUUUUGUGAGAUAAACUUAAUCAACUAAGAUGUUGGAGGUGAAUUGUAAUCAGCUUUGAGGUUGCGUCUGGUCAGAAGGUUAUCUGUAAAAAAAGUGAGUUCAUUCCAAUGGGGAAAGUGAAGGAAGUUUCUUUGCUGGAUUAUAAGGGGGCUUCCAACUACUUAUCUUGGUCCGCCCUGGGGAGUGCCUCAUAAGUCUUGUAUUAUGUGGGAUGUUCUCGAGGAAAGAUUUGGUAGGAGAAUGGCCUUUGGGAAGAAGUGGUAUUUUUCAAAGGGAGGUAGUUUGGUUCCUAUAAAAAGUACUUUCUUCAGCAUGCUAAUUUAUUUUAUGUCCCUUUUUACUAUCCAAGAAAGUGAGAAUUAGAUUGGAAAAGGUGUAAAGAGAUUUUUCAUGGGAAAUCUUUAAGAAGGCAGUAAAGUGCACCUAGAGAGCUGGUCUAAGGUUUAUAAGGAUAAAAAAUUUCAAAGGUUUGGGUAUUAGAAGAUCAAAGGUUCUUAAUGGACCCUAACUUGGCAAAUGGUUGUGAAGGUUUGCCCUUGAGAGGGAGAGUUGGUGGUGGAAGAUUAUUCAAGGGAAAUUUGGGGAAAUGGUUGGAGGUGGAAUAUUUGCAAGAAAGGGAAGUUCAAGUGUGUGGAAAGGCAUUAGUAUAGCUAUUUGUGUUAAUGAUGGUAGGCGGACAAAAUUUUGACGGAAAGUUGAGUGGGGGAGAGUUGUGUGAAAGUAUCAUCUCCUUUGUUGUGCAGUUUAGCCUUUCAUAGGAAUGCUAUAGCUGUAGACUUGUGGGAUAGGGGUAGAGGAGAUCAAUAUUAGUGUAAUUAAGAACACCUUUCCAUGAUUGAGAGUUGGAGUGGGUAUCCUAUUUUUUUUUAGAGCUUAUUUAUACAACAAAAAUGCAACAAUUAGGAGAAGAUAUCUUGGUUUGGAAGUAGGAUAGGAAAGGAAACUUCAACGUCAAAUCGUACUACAGUUCUUUGUGUGUUGAUACUAGAGUGGAGUCCCAACUAAGGAAAUUUGGGGCACUCCUUUGUGAUCUCACUUUUUUUCUUAGGAAGCAGUAUGAGAGAAGAUUUUAAUUACAAACAUGUUAACGAAGAGGGGGUAAUCGAUGGUUAGUUAAUAGAUGCAGUCUAUGUAAAAAGAGCGAAGAGUCUGUUGAUUUAUUGUACAACGACAAAGUUGUUAUGGAUGUUCUUCUUAGCAAGCUUUGGGAUGAAAUGGGUGUUUCCAGAGACUAUGAGAAAUUUGCUCCUCAAAUGGAAGGAAGGUUAAGGGAAUGGAUAAGAAGAGACACCAUGUUCGGUGAAUGGCUCCCUUGUGUUUGUUCUAGUGUAUAUGGCAAGAUGUUAUUGUUGAAUCUUUAAGGGUGAAGAGCUCUCAGAUCAAAGGUUAAAGGAGAACUUCACUAGAACCCUCUUAUAGUGGGUUCAAAUACUUCAUUAGAUUUGGGAAACUUCUCAGUGUUUGACAUUUUGGGUAGACUUAGCUGCAGGUAGAUUAGGUUUUGUGGCUGUUUUUUUGCAGAUACUUGUCAGUAUUCUUUGAUUGGUUUUUUUGUGUACACUACAUAUAUACAUAUGGUGCACCCCAUUUUUUUUGGGUUAAAGAAAUUCAUUGAAUGUUGCUUAUGGUAUAAAAGAGCCACUGCUGGUCAAAAUGAAAUUAUUUUAACAAUUCCGAAAGUGGGGUGCUUUCAGAAAUAAAAUCCAUUCUCUUUCAGAGCUUUGGGCUGGUGCACUCCACCAUUCCACCAAACCACCUAAUGCAUGUAACUCUUCCGAUAUUCUCUUCUGUUUACUGUUUCAUUUUCUAAUAGGGAUUUGGCCCAGAAAAGGCAAACUUUGGAAAUGUAAACCACUUCUAAUGAGAACACCAGAAGUAGCUUCCUCGCAAGCUCCAGAAAAGUUUUAACCGGGUCUAUACUGUGGUAAAGUCUUGCACCAAUAGGACCCCGAAACAUUUAUUUGAGCAUUCAUAAGGAUUGAAAAUUGAAAUAAUUUAUCCUUUAAAUCAGGAUGUGGUUGAGAGAAGUUCACUCAUAUAUGCUUUGUAUGAUUAUCAUCAUGUGAUUAAUGCUGCACAUCCUGCUGAUGUCUUGAUAUUUUCUACUAGAUACAGAUAAGCAUCUGUCCACCAAAUAGUGUAAUGACAUGUAAAAAGAAAGUGGUAUAGAUGACAGGUGGGACACCUAGAUAGGCAUGUUUACAUCUUUUUUAGGUUCAGUCUGUAAAUUUCUAAUGCAAUUAACAGAAUGAAAUGUGGGAAAGCAACAAAAAACUUAUAGCAUUUUCCUUUUUCUUGACCUUGCUUCUUGGUUGUUUUACUGUUCAACUCCUUACUCCUAAUUGCAAAAACUGAUUUUUCCUAUUAAAAUCGUUAUUUUUAUCUUUUCACUCUCUUUAUCUUUUUGCUGGAUUGCAGAUAUGGGUUGGGCUGGCGAGGUGGAAGAUGGUAUGCAAAUAGGAAGUUCAGAAGGGAGCAAAUGAAAUUGCUAGGGCAGAUAAAACCCAAAAGGACGCCACUCCAGUUCCUUAGAAGACUAAGAAGACAGAGGGCGCCAGAGACUGCACCCAAAACCUCUCCAACCUUGCAAAAGGAUGCUCCCUCCAAGAUUCUUUACAAACCCGCCAACAGCAGUUGCUGUAGUUACUUAUUAAGCAUAUCAGAUGAAAAAUGCUAUCAUAUAGUUUCAUACUCAUUCAAGACUGUUUCUGUACAAAGCAUAAAAUGGAUUAGUUUAUUCCUCCCUCCCCCAAGCUCUCUAUCAUUCUUCUUUUUUUUCGGGGACAAUUUUUUUGGUUCCUUGUUCCUUGUUGCCAGUCUGGGGAUGAGUGCAAUAUAAUAAUCUUUUGUUUCCUAACAGUGGAAAAUUAGUUCAAAUUGCUUGCCAGGCUCAUGUUCAAAGUAUUCUAUAUAUGUUGAGAAGGUUUGCUUUCUAAUUACAGCUUUAGGAAGAUUUCCAGGUUAUGGUACACAUUUUCUUUACAGGAAGCCUUUUGAAACCACAAUGCCCCAUAAAAGAUGAUCGUCCACAUUAAUCUUCAUUUCUGGUGUGCUUGAUUUACAUUCUUAUUACCAUCUGGCAUAAGUUUUGUUUGAAGGGGCCAUGAAAUAUUUAGGGUUGGUGAUUGAGUACUGGAAUAGCACGAUUAAUAUGAUACGGGUCAAUGCAAAGCUUGUUAAAACUCAAUGAGUGCUGUGAAUAGAAAGAAAACUGUUACAUAGACCACAAAAUUCUGUGACAAGAUUGCAUUUCUCUUUGCUUUGUUGUUAGUUAGACGAGGCCAAAUAUCAUACAGACCAGGCAUUAGAAGUCUGAAAAUGGGAUAUGGGUCUUAGUUUUUUACGCAUUUGUUGGCAGAUAGUGGGUUUGAUGUGUGGAUUGCAAACACUCGUGGAACCAAGUAUAGCCGUGGGCAUACUUCGUUGGAUCCUGGGGACUCGGUUAUCAUUCUUUCUUACAUGUUGGGUUCUCUUUUAUUGCCCAAUUUGUGAUCCACUGAUUAUCUCAAUGUUGUUUUUUAGGCUUUUUGGGAUUGGUCAUGGGAUGAGUUGGUAUCAUAUGACCUUCCUGCUAGCUUCCAGUAUGUACAUGACCAAACAGGACAGAAACUGCACUAUGUUGGGCAUUCCCUGGUGAAUAUCUUUAAAUUACUCUUGUACUAGUUCCAGGAUUUUUUUCCUGAAGUCUAAAGGGGAUACUGAGUUUGGAAAUUCUUUGCAGGGUACUCUGAUUGCUUUGGCUGCCUUUUCCCAGAAUCAGCUGUCUUGCUUAGCCCAAUUGCUUAUGUGGGUCAAAUGACAUCCCCACUAGCAAGAAAUGCUGCUGAUAAUUUUAUAGCUGAAGUAAAGACUUAUUCUCUUUCAUUUAUGUUUGAUUUCCAGCAAAAUAAAAUUCUCUGACCAUACACUUUAUCUUUCUUGACAGUCCUUGUACUGGUUGGGUCUCGAAGGUGAGAAAACAGCUCUUUUUCUUUACUCUUCCUAUAAUUCUGAUGCUUCAAGCAAAACAAUUUUAUUUCUGUUGCUAGUACCAUAGACAUAUUGGGUCUUGAUGGAUUGGAUCUGUGGAAGUGAAAAAGACAUCUUUUUUUCCUUGCCCCGUCCUAUAGUGGUGAUGGACCAGGCAAAAUAAACUUAUUUCUAUUGCUAGUAUCAUAUCCAUAAAAUCUUUGAUAGGACUUCUGGGCUUGAAAAUUUUAGACUAAAGUAUGAAAACACUUUCAAAAUUUUGUCGCUAAAAAGUUCCUAACCAUCACACAAGGACUUGAAUCACUGAUAUAAAGAGAAUUUUAGAAGCUGUGAUAACACAUACAUUUGCUUUGCUUGGUUCUCUCUGAUUAGUAUAAUGGAAGUUUCGAUACACCUGGUGUAUCGCCAAAAUUGACUAGAUGAUUCAUUUUGGGAAAAUGAAUUAUCCUGGUUUGCUCUAUGACUGAUUUCUUAAUUUUCCCCCAUCACCACCCAAGUGAACAGGGAUGCUGUAGUUAAUCUUCUAAAAGCCAUCUGCAAGAAACCCGGUGUUGACUGCACUGACUUGUUGACUUCUUUUACAGGUAAUAUCCAUGUUCUUGAUUUUCUAAUCAGCACUAUGUCUUUUGAAAAGGUCAUCUUCCAUAAUGACUUACAUUGUGUUGUAUCUGCGGGCCAAAACUGCUGCCUCAACUCUUCCAGUGUAGAUGUUUUUCUAGAGCAUGAGCCUCAAUCAACAGCAACAAAGAACACAAUCCAUCUAUCUCAGAGUAAGUAUAGUCCCUGUUUCAAAACCAUAAUACAGUGGUCAACGCGAUCAUCUAGAUGAUAUCAUUUCCUCCCCUCAUUAGCAUAAAGAGGUGGGCAUCGGUUAAUUUGAACAAACCUUUUGUUAAGAGUCGAUGUCUGAAUUUCAACAGUGAUCAGAGAAGGAACAUUAGCUAUGUACGACUACAAGGACGAGGAUGAGAACAUGGAAC